rnacentral:rRNA from 1 species
GGACGAACGCUGGCGGCGGGCUUAACACAUGCAAGUCGAACGGAAAGGCCCUGCUUUUGUGGGGUGCUCGAGUGGCGAACGGGUGAGUAACACGUGAGUAACCUGCCCUUGACUUUGGGAUAACUUCAGGAAACUGGGGCUAAUACCGGAUAGGAGCUCCUGCUGCAUGGUGGGGGUUGGAAAGUUUCGGCGGUUGGGGAUGGACUCGCGGCUUAUCAGCUUGUUGGUGGGGUAGUGGCUUACCAAGGCUUUGACGGGUAGCCGGCCUGAGAGGGUGACCGGCCACAUUGGGACUGAGAUACGGCCCAGACUCCUACGGGAGGCAGCAGUGGGGAAUAUUGCACAAUGGGCGGAAGCCUGAUGCAGCAACGCCGCGUGCGGGAUGACGGCCUUCGGGUUGUAAACCGCUUUCGCCUGUGACGAAGCGUGAGUGACGGUAAUGGGUAAAGAAGCACCGGCUAACUACGUG